rnacentral:rRNA from 1 species
AGUGAACGCUGGCGGUAGGCCUAACACAUGCAAGUCGAACGGCAGCACAGUAAGAGCUUGCUCUUACGGGUGGCGAGUGGCGGACGGGUGAGGAAUACAUCGGAAUCUACUUUUUCGUGGGGGAUAACGUAGGGAAACUUACGCUAAUACCGCAUACGACCUACGGGUGAAAGCAGGGGAUCUUCGGACCUUGCGCGAUUGAAUGAGCCGAUGUCGGAUUAGUUAGUUGGCGGGGUAAAGGCCCACCAAGGCGACUAUCCGUAGCUGGUUUGAGAGGAUGAUCAGCCACACUGGAACUGGGACACGGUCCAGACUCCUACGGGAGGCAGCAGUGGGGAAUAUUGGACAAUGGGCGCAAGCCUGAUCCAGCCAUACCGCGUGGGUGAAGAAGGCCUUCGGGUUGUAAAGCCCUUUUGUUGGGAAAGAAAAGCAGCAGGUUAAUACCCCGCUGUUCUGACGGUACCCAAAGAAUAAGCACCGGCUAACUUCGUG